rnacentral:rRNA from 1 species
GAUGAACGCUGGCGGCGUGCCUAAUACAUGCAAGUCGAGCGAACUGAUUAGAAGCUUGCUUCUAUGACGUUAGCGGCGGACGGGUGAGUAACACGUGGGCAACCUGCCUGUAAGACUGGGAUAACUUCGGGAAACCGAAGCUAAUACCGGAUAGGAUCUUUUCCUUCAUGGGAGAUGAUUGAAAGAUGGUUUCGGCUAUCACUUACAGAUGGGCCCGCGGUGCAUUAGCUAGUUGGUGAGGUAACGGCUCACCAAGGCAACGAUGCAUAGCCGACCUGAGAGGGUGAUCGGCCACACUGGGACUGAGACACGGCCCAGACUCCUACGGGAGGCAGCAGUAGGGGAUCUUCCGCAAUGGACGAAAGUCUGACGGAGCAACGCCGCGUGAGUGAUGAAGGCUUUCGGGUCGUAAAACUCUGUUGUUAGGGAAGAACAAGUACGAGAGUAACUGCUCGUACCUUGACGGUACCUAACCAGAAAGCCACGGCUAACUACGUGCCAGCCGCCGCAGUAAGAC